rnacentral:rRNA from 1 species
AAAUUGAAGAGUUUGAUCAUGGCUCAGAUUGAACGCUGGCGGCAGGCCUAACACAUGCAAGUCGAACGGUAACAGGAAACAGCUUGCUGUUUCGCUGACGAGUGGCGGACGGGUGAGUAAUGUCUGGGAAACUGCCUGAUGGAGGGGGAUAACUACUGGAAACGGUAGCUAAUACCGCAUAACGUCGCAAGACCAAAGAGGGGGACCUUCGGGCCUCUUGCCAUCGGAUGUGCCCAGAUGGGAUUAGCUUGUUGGUGGGGUAACGGCUCACCAAGGCGACGAUCCCUAGCUGGUCUGAGAGGAUGACCAGCCACACUGGAACUGAGA